rnacentral:rRNA from 1 species
GACGAACGCUGGCGGCGUGCUUAACACAUGCAAGUCGAACGGAAAGGCCCUGCUUUGUGGGUGCUCGAGUGGCGAACGGUGAGUAACACGUGAGUAACCUGCCCUUGACUUUGGGAUAACUUCAGGAAACUGGGGCUAAUACCGGAUAGGAGCUCCUGCUGCAUGGUGGGGUUGGAAAGUUUCGGCGGUUGGGGAUGGACUCGCGGCUUAUCAGCUUGUUGGUGGGGUAGUGGCUUACCAAGGCUUUGACGGUAGCCGGCCUGAGAGGGUGACCGGCCACAUUGGGACUGAGAUACGGCCCAGACUCCUACGGGAGGCAGCAGUGGGAAUAUUGCACAAUGGGCGGAAGCCUGAUGCAGCAACGCCGCGUGCGGGAUGACGG